rnacentral:rRNA from 1 species
AUGCAAGUCGAGGGGCAGCGCGGGGCGGCAACGUCCUGGCGGCGACCGGCGGAAGGGUGCGUAACGCGUGAGCGACAUGCCCGUUGCCCGGGGACAACCGGUGGAAACGCCGACUAAUCCCCGAUGGGAUAUUGUGCCGCAUGGCACGAUAUUGAAAGUUACGGCGGCGACGGAUUGGCUCGCGUCCGAUUAGCUAGUUGGCGGGGUAACGGCCCACCAAGGCUACGAUCGGUAGGGGUUCUGAGAGGAAGGUCCCCACAAUGGGACUGAGACACGGCCCAUACUCC